rnacentral:rRNA from 1 species
GAUGAACGCUGGCGGCGUGCCUAAUACAUGCAAGUCGAGCGAACGGACGAGAAGCUUGCUUCUCUGAUGUUAGCGGCGGACGGGUGAGUAACACGUGGAUAACCUACCUAUAAGACUGGGAUAACUUCGGGAAACCGGAGCUAAUACCGGAUAAUAUUUUGAACCGCAUGGUUCAAAAGUGAAAGACGGUCUUGCUGUCACUUAUAGAUGGAUCCGCGCUGCAUUAGCUAGUUGGUAAGGUAACGGCUUACCAAGGCAACGAUGCAUAGCCGACCUGAGAGGGUGAUCGGCCACACUGGAACUGGGACACGGUCCAGACUCCUACGGGAGGCAGCAGUAGGGGAUCUGACGAAAUGGGCGAAAGCCUGACGGAGCAACGCCGCGUGAGUGAUGAAGGUCUUCGGAUCGUAAAACUCUGUUCUUAGGGAAGAACAUAUGUGUAAGUAGCUGUGCACAUCUUGACGGUACCUAAUCAGAAAGCCACGGCUAACUACGUG